GCUGGAAUAGCUCAGUUGGCUAGAGCGUGUGGCUUUUUACCACAAGGUCGGAGGUUCAAGCCCUCCUUCUAGCG
rnacentral:tRNA from 2 species